rfam:Myotis lucifugus cont2.39896, whole genome shotgun sequence.
GGUGGUUCUCAGGUGAUGCACCCCAGAAUCGGGCUCCCUCCUCUCUGUGGCGUCACCCGAGAACCACA